rnacentral:rRNA from 1 species
UGGGGAAUAUUGGACAAUGGGCGCAAGCCUGAUCCAGCCAUGCCGCGUGAGUGAUGAAGGCCUUAGGGUUGUAAAGCUCUUUUAGCAGGGAAGAUAAUGACGGUACCUGCAGAAAAAGCCCCGGCUAACUUCGUGCCAGCAGCCGCGGUAAUACGGAGGGGGCUAGCGUUGCUCGGAAUUACUGGGCGUAAAGCGCACGUAGGCGGACUCUUAAGUCGGUGGUGAAAUCCUGGAGCUCAACUCCAGAACUGCCUUCGAUACUGGGAGUCUUGAGUUCGGGAGAGGUGAGUGGAACUGCGAGUGUAGAGGUGAAAUUCGUAGAUAUUAGGAAGAACACCAGUGGCGAAGGCGGCUCACUGGCCCGGAACUGACGCUGAGGUACGAAAGCGUGGGGAGCAAACA